UGCGUAGGCGGAUUAAUAGGUCAGUGGUGAAAACCUGCAGCUUAACUGUAGAACUGCCAUUGAUACUGUUAGUCUUGAGUACGGUCAAGGUAGGCGGAAUGUGUAAUGUAGCGGUGAAAUGCUUAGAUAUUACACAGAACACCGAUUGCGAAGGCAGCUUACUGGACCAUUACUGACGCUGAGGCACGAAAGCGUGGGGAGCGAACAGGAUUAGAUACCCUGGUAGUCC
rnacentral:rRNA from 1 species